rnacentral:rRNA from 1 species
UACGGGAGGCAGCAGUGGGGAAUAUUGCACAAUGGGCGAAAGCCUGAUGCAGCUAUGCCGCGUGUAUGAAGAAGGCCUUAGGGUUGUAAAGUACUUUCAUCGGGGAGGAAAAAACAAAACUAAUAAUUUUAUUUCUUGACGUUACCCGAAAAAGAAGCACCGGCUAACUCCGUGCCAGCAGCCGCGGUAAUACGGAGGGUGCUAGCGUUAAUCAGAAUUACUGGGCGUAAAGAGCACGUAGGUGGUUUUUUUAAAGUCAGAUGUGAAAUCCCUGGGCUUUAACCUGGAACUGCAUUUUGAAACUGAAAUACUAGAGUAUCGUAGAGGGAGGUAGAAUUCUAGGUGUAGCGGUGAAAUGCGUAGAUAUCUGGAGGAAUACCUGUGGCGAAAGCGGCCUCCUAAACGAAUACUGACACUGAGGGUGCGAAAGCGUGGGGAGCAAACGAGGGAUUAGAUACCCGU